rnacentral:rRNA from 1 species
UACGUAGGGGGCAAGCGUUGUCCGGAGUUACUGGGCGUAAAGCGCACGCAGGCGGUCCCUUAAGUUUGGAGUGACAGUUGGUGGCUUAACUGCCAAAGUGCUUCGAAAACUGAGAGACUUGAGGGCUUCAGAGGGACACGGAAUUCCGGGUGGAGUGGUGAAAUGCGUAGAGAUCCGGAGGAACACCGAAGGCGAAGGCAGUGUCCUGGGGAGUACCUGACGCUCAGGUGCGAAAGCCAGGGGAGCGAACGGG